rnacentral:rRNA from 1 species
UUUAUCGGAGAGUUUGAUCCUGGCUCAGGACGAACGCUGGCGGCGUGCCUAAUACAUGCAAGUCAAGCGGACAGAUGGGAGCUUGCUCCCUGAUGUUAGCGGCGGACGGGUGAGUAACACGUGGGUA